GGGAGACCAUCAAUUGCUGUGACAGCACUGUUUGGUUUAAAAGUUCCAAAACCCCGAUUAAGGUUUCUUACAUUUCCUCUCAAGCAGACCAUUUUGUUCCAAGAUUAUUGAAGGAUAAAUACAGCACAGGCAGAUUACAUUGCUCUUGUAAAGAUGUUUAUUUAUUUCUCCCUGCUUCUAUCUUAAAAUUUACCAGAGAACAAAAAGAUAUAGGAAGAGGGAGAGCACUUUGGAAAAGUUGCCAUAGUUUUGAUAAGCUGAAUGAGGGAAAGCAAAAUGCUCCAACGGAAGAGAAGCUGAAGCCAUGAAGCCAAAGCCAUCAGGAUUGGUGGAUUCUUUGAUUUAUUCAUUCAUUCAUUUGUGCUCUUUUUUAUUCCCAUGAUAAGCUGAAAAUUAGCUGGAGAAUAAAACUAAAAGGGAAGAAAAGGACAAAAUGGAUGUAUUAGUUCAUUCUCACACUGCUAUAAAGAUACUCCCUGAGACUGGGUAAUUUUUAAAGAAAAGAGGUUUAAUUGACUCACAGUUCUGCAUGGCUGGGGAGACCUCAGGAAACUUAGUAUCAUAGCAGAAGGUGAAGGAGAAGCAAGCACCUUUUUCACAAUGUGGCAGGAGAAAGAGAGCAGGAAGGAAGCCACACACUUUUAAACCAUCAGAUCUCAGCAGGUUAACACCUCUAAUCCCAGCACUUUGGGAGGCCGAGGUGGGCGGAUCACUUGAGUUCAGGAGUUCGAGACUAGCCUGGCCAACAUGGUGAAACCCCAUCUCUACUAAAAAUACAGAAAAUUAGCUGGGCAUGGUGGCGGAUGCCUGUAAUCCCAGCUACUUUGGAGGCUGAGGCAGGAGAAU
rnacentral:lncRNA from 10 species